rnacentral:rRNA from 1 species
AACGAACGCUGGCGGCAGGCUUAGCACAUGCAAGUCGAACGCCCCGCAAGGGGAGUGGCAGACGGGUGAGUAACGCGUGGGAACAUACCCUUUCCUGCGGAAUAGCUCUGGGAAACUGGAAUUAAUACCGCAUACGCCCUACGGGGGAAAGAUUUAUCGGGGAAGGAUUGGCCCGCGUUGGAUUAGCUAGUUGGUGGGGUAAAGGCCUACCAAGGCGACGAUCCAUAGCUGGUUUGAGAGGAUGAUCAGCCACAUUGGGACUGAGACACGGCCCAAACUCCUACGGGAGGCAGCAGUGGGGAAUAUUGGACAAUGGGCGCAAGCCUGAUCCAGCCAUGCCGCGUGAGUGAUGAAGGCCUUAGGGUUGUAAAGCUCUUUCACCGAUGAAGAUAAUGACGGUAGUCGGAGAAGAAGCCCCGGCUAACUUCGUGCCAGCCGCCGCCGUAAUAC